UACGUAGGGCGCAAGCGUUGUCCGGAAUUAUUGGGCGUAAAGGGCUCGUAGGCGGUUUGUCGCGUCGGGAGUGAAAUCCACUGGCUUAACUGGUGGCUUGCUUUCGAUACGGGCAGACUGGAGGUAUGCAGGGGAGAACGGAAUUCCUGGUGUAGCGGUGAAAUGCGCAGAUAUCAGGAGGAACACCGGUGGCGAAGGCGGUUCUCUGGGCCUGUACUGACGCUGAGGAGCGAAAGCGUGGGGAGCAAACAGG
rnacentral:rRNA from 1 species